CACACACACACACACACACACACACACACACAGACACACACACACACACACUAUUUCUUUGCACAUUCACAUCUGCAGCAAUGUUUGAACACGAAUAGCUCAAAGACCACUAAAGAUAAUAGCCAGACAUUUUCAAUGUUCUUUCUUACAAGCCAAACGAGCCUCGCUUGUGAGUUUGUGGUUUCUGCGUAGACUGUGUGGUUGUUGUAUUUUUUUUAUUUUUUAUCUAACUUCAGCAAUAAAGCCACUUUUGAUUUUUACAUCUUGUUUUCAAAGUGGCUUAACCUUCGGGGCUAGUCAACAGAAGCAGAUCUAAUUACACCAUACUGCCUUCAAUUCGCUGUUGUAUUAUGUACCCUGUUAUGAGUGCUAUAUCAUCAGAAUUUAUUGGAAUUUUCUUUUGAACAAUUUCUACAUCUGUGGGCCAACUAAAUGUUUAUAGGGGUAUUUAUGCUGAUUAAUGAAAGAUAUAUACAGUAAAAAUUAAUUCUCUUUUUAUUGCCUGUUGACUUUAUUAUAUUUUUCAUGUUGGUGUUCUGCAUUGUUUACUGUUAUUGUAUUUUUAUUUUUAGUAUAUAUAUUGAUAAGUAAGAAAAGGAAUCAGUGAUGUUUCAUCAGUGUACAUGGGAGAAGUAGUUUCAAUACCAUUGGCUGUCUAGUGGACUGACGAUGCAAGACCACUAAGAUCAGUGAUAUGCUCAGACUGAAGUUCAUCAUUCGUUAGUUUGCAAGACAGUCACUCAGAUUGCAGACCUGACAUUCUGAUAGAGAUUCAGCAAACAUUAUAUAGAAUUACUAUGAUGGGGCUUAUGGUCACCCUCAUAUGGGUACCAGCGCAUCAUAGAGUUAAGGGAAAUGAUAUGGCAGACAGAACAGCAAAGGAAGCUACAAAGAGACCAUUAUGGAUAUGGAAAUCAGUGUUAGUAGGACAGCAAUCAAGAGUAGAAUAUGGCACAAAAUAAAAGAAAGGUGGCAAAGGCAAUGGGAGGAAGAGAGGUAAGAGAGAUGGUUUUAUAAAAUACAAAGGGAAAUAAAAAAAAUGAGAAGCACAGGGAGGAACAGGAGAGAGGAGACGGUUAUCUGUCGAUACUCCACACCAGUUGGUCGCGAUAAUGCACCAUUUUGCUGUUUGCCAGCCGCCACUAAACAGUAUAAAGAGGAAGAAAAAGAAAACGAAACCUGUCAGGAUACACACGUCUGUUUUCUACAGUCAUUGGUCUGUCCAUUGAAGCCAACAGUGAAGUGUGGGCCACCAUUCUGGCUCUGGUCUGGCUUCCUGCUUUCAAGAUGGAUGCAAAGGACGAGUGGGAGCUUCUGGCUAUGAAAGCUGUUUCAUGGUUCCGUGCUCAGAAUGCGCCACGUGUGACAGAGUGUGUGGAUGCUGGAAAGGUCCUGUUGGGUUGCAGCGUGAGGAAAGAAGCUCUGGGCCUCUCAGGGGUUUCUUAAAGUGGCUUCACCUUCAGGGUGAUCAGAAGCAGAUCUGCGUACACCUUACUGCCUUUGAUCCAGUGCUGUUUUAUGUUACAUACCCUGCUGCUGUUAUGCAGUCAGAAUUGUUAUAUAUUCUUUUUCAUGCUUAGUUCUUAGUGUUAAGAGGCAUUUUGUAUUUUGUGAAUCACUCCCUGUAAACCAGUGUGGGGAACUCCAGGCCUCAAAUGAUUAGUUCAUUACCAGGCCUCUGGAGAACUUCAAGACAAGUUGAAGAUGUAAUUUAGCCAUUUAAAUGAGCUGUGUUGGAUCAAGGACACAUCUAAACCUUGCAGGAAACCGGGCCUUGAGGUCUGGAGUUCCCUACCCCAGCUGUAAACCAAUGCACCUUUCGAGGUCCUCCUUCUUAGUUGCAUUGAGGAUUUUGUGCACGCUUCUUAUGACAGAGAGGAUAGAAGAGGCACAAAACUGUGCCCAGUCUGUGACAUCAAACAAAUUGGUUGUGAAUCAAAACUCUUUAUUCCUACUUUUCUAAGUAAUCUUAAAAUUUCAAGUAAACCUUUUCUGAGUAAUCUGUUUCUCCCGUUGCAGUUGUGCUCACCAGUCAAAACACAACGUCUAUACACCACUAAACAUUCAACACUUCUAUAGCAAAGUCCGUGAGCUGAACACAUACAAGGUGCCUGAACAUAACUAACAAAUUAUAAUUUGUCACUCCAAGUUAACAUGUUUGUUUUUUAUUUUUAAAAAGCAAACUUUUUCAACCACCACUGGUUUAUUAUUCUUUUUGUUCAGUUUGUUCUUGUCUUAAUGUGUCUACUCAGACAAAAACUGUGUGCAUUUCUUUUCUUUGCUCGGUCACUGAACGCUAAUGCAGAAAGCAGUGCAGGGUUGAGUCAAACCGAUAUCAUCAGGUGCUGGAGGCAACCAUCAUGGUUUCAUGUUUCAUGACAAAGAAGGAUACUGUUCAAAAUUAUACAUGAUGAUGUGCUCCCAAUAAUAUUUGGAAGACCUACACACAUUUUUUUAAAUACUGGAUUCUUUGUGUGCAAACAGUUCUUGAAAGAUCGAUUGACGGGGGCCAGUCUCUUUCUGUCAUGGUCCUGGGUCUGGUGACCCAGUGUUCAUGUGUUUUCGAGUUUUGUUAAUAUUCUUUGAUUUUGUGUCAUUUGUGGUUUUGGUUCUCUUAAUUGUUUUGUGCUCAUGUUAUAGUUUUUAGCCUUUAGGUUUUCAUCCUUUGUGUCUUGCCUGUCUUUCACGUUUCUUGUUUAGUUCCAGUUUGUUCUUGGUUUACUUAUAUUUUGGGGUUAUCAGAAAUGUUUUUUUGUAGGUUAAUAAAUAUUAGGUUUAUAUUGUUGGAUUGUCAUUUAUGCUUAGAAAUAUAUAACCAUAUAUUCUUAGAGGUGUAUAACCAAUUGUGUAGUGAUAGGAUGUGUGAUCCUUAGUAGUCUGCAAAGACUGUGUGUGCAUUCCAGAGUGCUCUGGCAUAUACACACACAUCUUAAGGAGAUGAGAGAGGUCGUACCUUCUCUUACUGUUUUAUGGUAUGGUAAACACAUCUAUGUCCGUUUAGGUGUAAGUGCCUUUUGUUUAGAUGAACUGCUGGACUUCGAGGCCCAGCAGAUUUAAGGGAGUCAUUCACGGGGUCAGAUCUUGACCCACACGCACACACACAUGCACACCUACACGUAUACACAGACUGGUACUCUUUGUUCCCAUGUAUGCCUAUGUAAGAUGUCAUAUGUUAAUGAACUAAUGCAUAUUCAUGAAUUACUUCAGUAAAGAGCAGUACUACGGGGGAGCUACCUGAGAGUGACUGGGGUUCGAGCGUCAGGAACAGCGCUCAUCACAGUUCUCUCCCUCGUGCACGUGAUUACCAAAGAACUUUGGUGACUUGUGUCUUGUUUUUGCUGGUGUAGUAGCAUUGUCUCAUUUCAGCAACAGGUCUGUGCUAGGCAAACCUAUCAAUAAUUGCUUAAUUUUUUGUUUUGUUUUUGUUCUUUAUCUUUAUAAGUAAGGCAGGAAGAACUGUAGGGCCAUUUUCUAUAAGGGUUUGUAUCGGUCCAGCAUGAACUGGAGUGGGCCUUUGGGACAGAGCAGGAGAAACAGCAGGAAACAAUAAAAAUUGAUCUUUGGUUAUCGCUUGCCAAACUGGAUAAACUGACCAUAAAACGCAACUUUCAAAUUUUGCACAUUGGACUGCUUUUGCCUGUGUACAAACUAUCACCACAGUGCAGCAGUGGUUUGUUGAUUUGAAAUUAUUGGAUGUUUGAUUGGACAAACAGUGGACACUCUUGGUCUCACCAGUAAGUCAUGUCCCAAUGCUCCCCUUGUUUCCAGUGUUAAGCUUGUGUGUCUUUCUCCGCUUCUCCGUAUUUGUUGUGCUUCCAGUUUGAUUGCCCACUAUACAGCUGAAUUGACAGCGUCUGUUUAACAUCAUGGGACAGUUCUGUUUGAUAUUGUGCUGAUGUGGUUCUUUGAAUAUGUAGUUUUUGUGGAUUGAAAAAAUGAUGUCUAUUUUGAUAAUAAAUCAAAUAUGAAUAAACCUUCCUUGUUUAAACAUGUGCCAUGGUGUGUUGUCCUUUUGCUUGUGACUUCUUGUUAGUUUUUUACUAAUAAAAAAGCCAGGAAGAGCAUCCACUUUUC